rnacentral:tRNA from 1 species
UCCCUGGUGGCUCAGAGGGUAAAGCGUCUGCCUACAAUGCGGGAGACCCGGGUUCGAUCUCUGGCUGGGGAA